GUGUUACUUCGGUAAUACGCAUACUAAAAUUGGAACGAUACAGAGAAGAUUAGCAUGGUUUCCCUGCGCAAGGAUGACACGCACAAUCGUGAAGCGUAUCCAAUUUUU
ensembl:snRNA U6 U6 spliceosomal RNA